UGCGAUUUCUGUGACUUCUGCUACUUCUGCGAUUUCUGUGACUCCUGCGAUUGCUGCGACGUACCACCGUAUGAAAAAGUUACAUCUGUCCACACAGAAAAUUGCAUCUCAACAAACCUGUCAUUGGUACCUGAACUACAUUUCAGUCACUCAGUAAAGUGAUAAUUCAAAAUAUCAUUGUCAACAGAUCUGAAGAAAUUGCCAGUCUUUAGACCGUUUUCGUCAGACGACAGACGCAGUUCUGACUGAUUACUGGUUGCUGUACAUAUCUAUCCACAUCAAGGCUGUUGAGAGAGACUCGUGAAGAUUCAAGACAGCUCUUAGAGGAUUUGCAGUUUAAAAGUGAAAUAAUUAUGAAAUAAGUGUA